rnacentral:rRNA from 1 species
UACAGGGGGGGCAAGCGUUGUUCGGAAUUACUGGGCGUAAAGGGUCUGUAGGUGGCCAACUAAGUCAGACGUGAAAUCCCUCAGCUUAACUGGGGAACUGCGUCUGAUACUGGAUGGCUUGAGUGCAGGAGAGGAAUGCGGAAUUCCAGGUGUAGCGGUGAAAUGCGUAGAUAUCUGGAGGAACACCGGUGGCGAAGGCGGCAUUCUGGACUGUAACUGACACUGAGAGACGAAAGCCAGGGGAGCGAACGGG